AUGUCCACAUAAAUCUAUGCAUCCCUUUCAUCUUGAGUGAGCAAAACGAUGAUGUUAUCCAUUCAGUCAAGUCCUGCUCUUGGCAAUUCUAUAGCCAAGUCUCUCCACAUCUUCUGAUCUUGCACUAGCAAAACAAUAUAUCAACAUAAAUUGCACUGCCCCAGGCCUAAUCUUUGCCGUGUCUCCACAGUGAGAACCAAUUUGGUCUAGUGGUUAAGAACCAGGCUAGUAACUGGGAGAGCAUGAAUCAAUUGUGCAGUGGUUAGAAUGCUGUACUGCAGGCCACUUUUGCUGACUAUCGGCUACCUGUAAUUUGGCAGU